rnacentral:rRNA from 1 species
UACGUAGGGUGCAAGCGUUGUCCGGAAUUAUUGGGCGUAAAGAGCUCGUAGGCGGUUUGUCACGUCUGCUGUGAAAACUGGAGGCUCAACCUCCAGCCUGCAGUGGGUACGGGCAGACUAGAGUGCGGUAGGGGAGAUUGGAAUUCCUGGUGUAGCGGUGGAAUGCGCAGAUAUCAGGAGGAACACCGAUGGCGAAGGCAGAUCUCUGGGCCGUAACUGACGCUGAGGAGCGAAAGCGUGGGGAGCGAACAGG